GAUGAACGCUGGCGGCGUGCCUAAUACAUGCAAGUCGAGCGAACGGACGAGAAGCUUGCUUCUCUGAUGUUAGCGGCGGACGGGUGAGUAACACGUGGAUAACCUACCUAUAAGACUGGGAUAACUUCGGGAAACCGGAGCUAAUACCGGAUAAUAUUUUGAACCGCAUGGUUCAAAAGUGAAAGACGGUCUUGCUGUCACUUAUAGAUGGAUCCGCGCUGCAUUAGCUAGUUGGUAAGGUAACGGCUUACCAAGGCAACGAUGCAUAGCCGACCUGAGAGGGUGAUCGGCCACACUGGAACUGAGACACGGUCCAGACUCCUACGGGAGGCAGCAGUAGGGAAUCUUCCGCAAUGGGCGAAAGCCUGACGGAGCAACGCCGCGUGAGUGAUGAAGGUCUUCGGAUCGUAAAACUCUGUUAUUAGGGAAGAACAUAUGUGUAAGUAACUGUGCACAUCUUGACGGUACCUAAUCAGAAAGCCACGGCUAACUACGUGCCAGCAGCCGCGGUAAUACGUAGGUGGCAAGCGUUAUCCGGAAUUAUUGGGCGUAAAGCGCGCGUAGGCGGUUUUUUAAGUCUGAUGUGAAAGCCCACGGCUCAACCGUGGAGGGUCAUUGGAAACUGGAAAACUUGAGUGCAGAAGAGGAAAGUGGAAUUCCAUGUGUAGCGGUGAAAUGCGCAGAGAUAUGGGGGAACACCAGUGGCGAAGGCGACUUUCUGGUCUGUAACUGACGCUGAUGUGCGAAAGCGUGGGGAUCAAACAGG
rnacentral:rRNA from 1 species